CCUACGGGAGGCAGCAGUGGGGAAUAUUGGACAAUGGGGGGAACUCUGAUCCAGCGACGCCGCGUGAGUGAAGAAGUAUUUCGGUAUGUAAAGCUCUAUCAGCAGGGAAGAAAGAAAUGACGGUACCUGACUAAGAAGCCCCGGCUAACUACGAGCCAGCAGACGCGGUAAUACGUAGGGGGCAAGCGUUAUCCGGAUUUACUGGGGGUAAAGGGAGCGGAGCAGGUUACGCAAGUCUGGAGUGAAAGGUGGGGGCCCAACCCCCGGACUGCUUGGGAAACUGUAUAACUGGAGUGCAGGAGAGGUAAGUGGAAUUCCUAGUGUAGCGGUGAAAUGCGUAGAUAUUAGGAGGAACACCAGUGGCGAAGGCGGCUUACUGGACUGUAACUGACGUUGAGGCUCGAAAGCGUGGGGAGCAAACAGGAUUAGAUACCCCAGUAGUC
rnacentral:rRNA from 1 species